AAUAAAGUGCCUGAUAAAAGGAUUAUUCUGAUAGAGUAAGCAAUGUAAUUUAUAUUUACCUUUAUUA
rnacentral:tRNA from 1 species